rnacentral:rRNA from 1 species
GAUGAACGCUGGCGGCGUGCCUAAUACAUGCAAGUCGAACGCAUUGUGGUUGAAAUGAUAUGAAGAACUUGUUCAGAUUUGAUUUUCAACAUUGCAAUGAGUGGCGAACGGGUGAGUAACACGUGGGAAACCUACCUCUUAGCAGGGGAUAACAUUUGGAAACAAAUGCUAAUACCGUAUAAUAAUUAAAACCGCAUGGUUUAGUUUAAAAGAUGGUCUUGCUAUCACUAAGAGAUGGUCCCGCGGUGUAUUAGUUAGUUGGUGAGGUAAUGGCUCACCAAGACAAUGAUACAUAGCCGAGUUGAGAGACUGACCGGCCACAAUGGGACUGAGACACGGCCCAUACUCCUACGGGAGGCAGCAGUAGGGAAUCUUCCACAAUGGACGAAAGUCUGAUGGAGCAACGCCG